rnacentral:lncRNA from 1 species
UAUUACUUGCCCUGCUGCUUCUGACAAACUAUUUGUAGGAAAAUGAGAUUUGGUCCGCGCUGGAUGGCUCCUCUGGGAGGCAGGCGUGGGGGUCGGGUGUCGGAGGCCCCGUGCGCCCCCCCACCCCCCACCAGAGCCCACGGCGCUCACGGAGCUCUUUAAGAUAAAUGAGCAAAAUUAAGAGACUCACUGGGGGAAGAAAACACUGGAUGGGAGCGAGCGAGAGCGGAUGGUACUUGGUUUCCUCCCAGAAAUGCAUCCACGUGCGCCCCACUGGGGCCUCCCCCAUCUGCUGCAGACUCCAGGGAACUUCCUCCCCUCAAAGACGAACUUCCAGCCCUGGAGCAUGUUUCUUCCUUUCCUGGGAUGUGGCGCUGAAAAGGGCAGAAACCUCUAGUAAGGCACAAGCAACAGAUUGGGGGUGGAGCAGCAGGUCUCUUUGGAGGUGGCCUGGAAGAAACCGGACAGAGAGGAUGGGAAGGGGAGAAACAGAAGAGUGUGACGAGAUCAUGAAGGAAAGAGGAGGCGUCUACUGAAUGUAAGGUAGAGCCAAAGGCAUCUAUUGAUGACUGAAGAAGAGGCAUGAAUAUGACAAAAACAGGAAGCAUCUGUUUCCACCAGUCACCAGCAAGCGGAGGAUCGUAUAAGGACACCCUUCAGUGUCAGUGUGCUUCAUUAUGCUUUUGGAUGUGUGCGAGUCAGAGCCAGAUUCCUGACUAAAUGGAGGGAUGCAAUGAGAAAUUCAUAAUAAGAAAUUAUUUUGUUGUCAUCUAUCAU